AGGAGUCAAAAAGGAAGAAAAAAGGCUUGCCAACCCACCAUGGCAAUCAUCAAGAGGAACACGAGGGCUGCAUGCUUGGCGGUUCUUGUGGCCAUUGCCGCAACCUUAUUAUUGUCCUCUUCAACUGUACAAGCAGAUGAGUGCAUGGUGGCGCCGGAAUGCUCGGGUCCCUACCCAGAGGUGGUAUGCCCUGAGCUAUGCGCUCGUUAUGGCUUCAACAAAGAUGGAUACUGCAAAGAAUCACAAUACUGCUGUUGUCGCGGUGCAAAAUUAGCCCAGCCAGUCUUUGCGAAUCCUAGUGUAACUCCAUAGGAGGAAACUCGAUAUGAAAUAAGUUUUUAUCAGUUAAUUCAUCUUGAUGGAUGUGGUCGAAAUUAAUGGUCAAUAUUUUAGGAUGCCCCCAAUGGAUGGGAUGAAA